rnacentral:lncRNA from 1 species
CCCCACCCUUCCCAGAAGCCCAGCCUGCUUCACCUCUCACUGGCACUCGCCCCAGGACUUUGCAGCACCUAUCCCGGGCACUCUGGCAUCCCAGAGGGUGCUCGUCCCCCGAUCAAGCCCUGCAGGCGCCGACCGGCUGCACCGAGGGCGGGGCCCGCCGAGUCCGCGCCCACCUGGAACCUCCGCAGGCCUGCGAGGGCCGCGCGCCACCCCGGUUCCCGUCUGCGCCUCCACACCUCCCCGCCAGCAGAGGGAGCCGGCUCCCGCCUCGGCCAGCCCCAGAGAGCGGCCGCCACAGCGCAGCGGCAGGGUGAAGGGCUCCUCCAGCGCGACCCGAGACGCCGAGGCCGAGGAGGCGCGGAGAGCGAGCGAAGGCUGCUAGCAAGUUGUCAUCUCUCAAUAGUUUUCUGGAAAGUGGGGCCAAAAGAGCUGUUUGGAUAAGCUCUUUGCCGAAGAAUAACGUGAGAAGGAAUUAUGUCUCUGAAUACUUUCUUACCCCAUCAAAUAUGAGCAGAACAUUCCAGAGAAGAUAUCAAGGAAUUAUUUCAGGAGGUAGCAAAGCCUGGCAAGGUGAAGAAAAUGUGACUGAAGAGAUUGAAUUAAUGUGCUGACAUUCACACCCUUUAACCUUAGAGAUGUUAUUGGUUCCUAAGCUUCAGUUUCUUUAUGUGUGCAAGGAAAUAAUAAUAUCUACCUCAGACACGUUUCAUUCUCAAACAAAGCUCUCUAGUAGAGAAAAGGAAAACUAGUUUCUUUGUUCAAGGCAUCAACCACUUGUCAAGCCAUCUCUAGAUGUCCUAUAGGAUGGGCCCAGGGGAGCUAUGUGCUGCCCACAGAGUAGUUAUAUCUGUUUUAAUGAACUAUGUCUAAUAAAUGAACUCAACUAUCCAAAAUUUCAGAACAUAAUGGGU